rnacentral:rRNA from 1 species
GGYGCUUGCACUGGUGGCSAGUGGCGAASGGGUGASUAAUACAUCGGAACAUGUCCUGUAGUGGGGGAUAGCCCGGCRAAAGCCGGAUUAAUACCSCAUACGAUCUACGGAUGAAAGCGGGGGACCUUCGGGCCUCGCGCUAUAGGGUUGGCCGAUGGCUGAUUAGCUAGUUGGUGGGGUAAAGGCCUACCAAGGCGACGAUCASUAGCUGGUCUGAGAGGACSACCAGCCACACUGGGACUGAGACACGGCCCAGACUCCUACGGGAGGCRGCAGUGGGGAAUUUUGGACAAUGGGCGAAAGCCUGAUCCAKCAAUGCCGCGUGUGUGAAGAAGGCCUUCSGGUUGUAAASCACUUUUGUCCGGAAAGAAAUCCUUGGCUCUAAUACWGYCGGGGGAUGACGGUACCGGAAGAAUAAGCACCGGCUAACUACGUGCCARCAGCCGCGGUAAUACGUAGGGUGCGAGCGUUAAUCGGAAUUACUGGGCGUAAAGCGUGCKCMSGCGGUUUGCUAAGACCGAUGUGAAAUCCCCGGGCUCAACCUGGGAACUGCAUUGGUGACU